rnacentral:siRNA from 1 species
UCCACUGGUUUUACACAUCAUGUG